rnacentral:lncRNA from 1 species
AAGUAAUUGAAAAUGAUUCUGGUUGGCAAGACAUAAACAUGCAUGCAUAUAGUACAAGUUUAGGACACUCAUUCCACCAAAUAAAAUGAUGCCAACCUUAUUUCUAUUAUUUUCAUUGUUCAUGAUAUUAAAUAGGUAGUGUGAUAUCAUUACUUGUACAUAGACUCUUCCGAAUAUCACUAGGACAACUUUUGUAUUAUCUCCACUAAAAUACACACCAUUCCUGCAGGUUCAAUCCUCUUGUGUAAUGGACAUGUUCCAUGUUUAUUCCAUUCAUAUUCC